rnacentral:rRNA from 2 species
UUAAGUUAUUAAGGGCGCACGGUGGAUGCCUUGGCACUAGAAGCCGAUGAAGGACGUUACUAACGACGAUAUGCUUUGGGGAGCUGUAAGUAAGCUUUGAUCCAGAGAUUUCCGAAUGGGGAAACCCAGCAUGAGUUAUGUCAUGUUAUCGAUAUGUGAAUACAUAGCAUAUCAGAAGGCACACCCGGAGAACUGAAACAUCUUAGUACCCGGAGGAAGAGAAAGAAAAUUCGAUUCCCUUAGUAGCGGCGAGCGAAACGGGAAGAGCCCAAACCAACAAGCUUGCUUGUUGGGGUUGUAGGACACUCUAUACGGAGUUACAAAGGACGACAUUAGACGAAUCAUCUGGAAAGAUGAAUCAAAGAAGGUAAUAAUCCUGUAGUCGAAAAUGUUGUCUCUCUUGAGUGGAUCCUGAGUACGACGGAGCACGUGAAAUUCCGUCGGAAUCUGGGAGGACCAUCUCCUAAGGCUAAAUACUCUCUAGUGACCGAUAGUGAACCAGUACCGUGAGGGAAAGGUGAAAAGCACCCCGGAAGGGGAGUGAAACAGAACCUGAAACCGUGUGCUUACAAGUAGUCAGAGCCUGUUAAUGGGUGAUGGCGUGCCUUUUGUAGAAUGAACCGGCGAGUUACGAUUUGAUGCAAGGUUAAGCAGUAAAUGUGGAGCCGUAGCGAAAGCGAGUCUGAAUAGGGCGUUUAGUAUUUGGUCGUAGACCCGAAACCAGGUGAUCUACCCUUGGUCAGGUUGAAGUUCAGGUAACACUGAAUGGAGGACCGAACCGACUUACGUUGAAAAGUGAGCGGAUGAACUGAGGGUAGCGGAGAAAUUCCAAUCGAACCUGGAGAUAGCUGGUUCUCUCCGAAAUAGCUUUAGGGCUAGCCUCAAGUGAUGAUUAUUGGAGGUAGAGCACUGUUUGGACGAGGGGCCCCUCUCGGGUUACCGAAUUCAGACAAACUCCGAAUGCCAAUUAAUUUAACUUGGGAGUCAGAACAUGGGUGAUAAGGUCCGUGUUCGAAAGGGAAACAGCCCAGACCACCAGCUAAGGUCCCAAAAUAUAUGUUAAGUGGAAAAGGAUGUGGCGUUGCCCAGACAACUAGGAUGUUGGCUUAGAAGCAGCCAUCAUUUAAAGAGUGCGUAAUAGCUCACUAGUCGAGUGACACUGCGCCGAAAAUGUACCGGGGCUAAACAUAUUACCGAAGCUGUGGAUUGUCCUUUGGACAAUGGUAGGAGAGCGUUCUAAGGGCGUUGAAGCAUGAUCGUAAGGACAUGUGGAGCGCUUAGAAGUGAGAAUGCCGGUGUGAGUAGCGAAAGACGGGUGAGAAUCCCGUCCACCGAUUGACUAAGGUUUCCAGAGGAAGGCUCGUCCGCUCUGGGUUAGUCGGGUCCUAAGCUGAGGCCGACAGGCGUAGGCGAUGGAUAACAGGUUGAUAUUCCUGUACCACCUAUAAUCGUUUUAAUCGAUGGGGGGACGCAGUAGGAUAGGCGAAGCGUGCGAUUGGAUUGCACGUCUAAGCAGUAAGGCUGAGUAUUAGGCAAAUCCGGUACUCAUUAAGGCUGAGCUGUGAUGGGGAGAAGACAUUGUGUCUUCGAGUCGUUGAUUUCACACUGCCGAGAAAAGCCUCUAGAUAGAAAAUAGGUGCCCGUACCGCAAACCGACACAGGUAGUCAAGAUGAGAAUUCUAAGGUGAGCGAGCGAACUCUCGUUAAGGAACUCGGCAAAAUGACCCCGUAACUUCGGGAGAAGGGGUGCUCUUUAGGGUUAACGCCCAGAAGAGCCGCAGUGAAUAGGCCCAAGCGACUGUUUAUCAAAAACACAGGUCUCUGCUAAACCGUAAGGUGAUGUAUAGGGGCUGACGCCUGCCCGGUGCUGGAAGGUUAAGAGGAGUGGUUAGCUUCUGCGAAGCUACGAAUCGAAGCCCCAGUAAACGGCGGCCGUAACUAUAACGGUCCUAAGGUAGCGAAAUUCCUUGUCGGGUAAGUUCCGACCCGCACGAAAGGCGUAACGAUUUGGGCACUGUCUCAACGAGAGACUCGGUGAAAUCAUAGUACCUGUGAAGAUGCAGGUUACCCGCGACAGGACGGAAAGACCCCGUGGAGCUUUACUGUAGCCUGAUAUUGAAAUUCGGCACAGCUUGUACAGGAUAGGUAGGAGCCUUUGAAACGUGAGCGCUAGCUUACGUGGAGGCGCUGGUGGGAUACUACCCUAGCUGUGUUGGCUUUCUAACCCGCACCACUUAUCGUGGUGGGAGACAGUGUCAGGCGGGCAGUUUGACUGGGGCGGUCGCCUCCUAAAAGGUAACGGAGGCGCUCAAAGGUUCCCUCAGAAUGGUUGGAAAUCAUUCAUAGAGUGUAAAGGCAUAAGGGAGCUUGACUGCGAGACCUACAAGUCGAGCAGGGUCGAAAGACGGACUUAGUGAUCCGGUGGUUCCGCAUGGAAGGGCCAUCGCUCAACGGAUAAAAGCUACCCCGGGGAUAACAGGCUUAUCUCCCCCAAGAGUUCACAUCGACGGGGAGGUUUGGCACCUCGAUGUCGGCUCAUCGCAUCCUGGGGCUGUAGUCGGUCCCAAGGGUUGGGCUGUUCGCCCAUUAAAGCGGUACGCGAGCUGGGUUCAGAACGUCGUGAGACAGUUCGGUCCCUAUCCGUCGUGGGCGUAGGAAAUUUGAGAGGAGCUGUCCUUAGUACGAGAGGACCGGGAUGGACAUACCUCUGGUGUACCAGUUGUCGUGCCAACGGCAUAGCUGGGUAGCUAUGUGUGGACGGGAUAAGUGCUGAAAGCAUCUAAGCAUGAAGCCCCCCUCAAGAUGAGAUUUCCCAACUUCGGUUAUAAGAUCCCUCAAAGAUGAUGAGGUUAAUAGGUUCGAGGUGGAAGCAUGGUGACAUGUGGAGCUGACGAAUACUAAUCGAUCGAAGACUUAAUCAA